rnacentral:rRNA from 1 species
ACAUCCAGCGAACUUGGCAGAGAUGCCUUGGUGCCUUCGGGAACGCUGAGACAGGUGCUGCAUGGCUGUCGUCAGCUCGUGUUGUGAAAUGUUGGGUUAAGUCCCGNAACGAGCGCAACCCUUAUCCUUUGUUGCCAGCGAUUCGGUCGGGAACUCAAAGGAGACUGCCGGUGAUAAACCGGAGGAAGGUGGGGAUGACGUCAAGUCAUCAUGGCCCUUACGAGUAGGGCUACACACGUGCUACAAUGGCGCAUACAAAGAGAAGCGACCUCGCGAGAGCAAGCGGACCUCAUAAAGUGCGUCGUAGUCCGGAUCGGAGUCUGCAACUCGACUCCGUGAAGUCGGAAUCGCUAGUAAUCGUGGAUCAGAAUGCCACGGUGAAUACGUUCCCGGGCCUUGUACACACCGCCCGUCACACCAUGGGAGUGGGUUGCAAAAGAAGUAGGUAGCUUAACCUCCGGGAGGGCGCUUACCACUUUGUGAUUCAUGACUGGGGUGAAGUCGUAACAAGGUAAGCGUAGUGCU